CUCUACGUCUGUUGCUUCCAGAUGAUAAUCACAGUCAUGUCUUAAUACAGCUCAGGUUAAUCUGCUCUGAGGCACUCUGGAGAUUUUUCAGUCCUGAAGAAUUUUUCUUUCAUCUGACAACUGAUCAACCUUGGGAUUCCAAAGAUGUCAGGACUUGAGCCUGAGAAGAUGUAGCACAGGGUCUCAGGGCUGGACUUCAGUAGAUACAGAUCUGCCCCAAACAGCGAUCUGUUCAUAGACAUCUACAAGCUAAAAGUCAGUCACCUCCAUGGACUGUCCAGCCCCAUCUUUGCUGUCCAGAUCUUCGGGGCUGCUAUGACUCUGAAAUGAGGCCGUGAUGCGAUCUGCAUAGGUUAAGAGGGUCCAGCUCUCUGGCUACGGUGACUUGAGUGUUAUGAUGUGGAUCUGGAGUGCUCCCCAUGUCACUUGUGCUAAAGGGUUGGUUGCCAGACUGCGGCAUUAUUGGGAGAUGGUGGGAAUACAGGACAGAGCAUCUAACUGGGAGGAAGUUAAAUUACAGGCGGUAAGCACUUGAAGUAAUAUUGGAACUCCAUCCCUUCUCUCUCUUUCCUCCUGGAUGCCAUGAGGUAAGCAGCUUUGUUCUACCAUCUCCCACCUAUCAGGGUGUCCUGCCUCAACACCAGCCCCAAAGCAAUGGAGCCAACUGGCCAUACAUGGAAAUCUCUGAACACAUGAGCCCAAGCAAAUAGUUCUUUUUUAUUUUGUUAAUCUCAAACAUUUUGCCAUGGUGAUUAAAAGCUGACUAGUGCAAUAAUCCUUGCUGAUUAUGUCAUUAAGGGGGGAAGUCACUUGAAUAACCCUCAAUGGUCACUAUCCAUACUGGGUCCAGUGUAAGGCUCAAUGUGUCUCCAGGGAAAAUUUCUGUGAGAUGUGAAAUAAACACUCAAGAUCCUCUUCUCAGUCUCCAGUCCUCUUUGGUGAGUGGCUUUGUACUACU
rnacentral:lncRNA from 1 species